rnacentral:rRNA from 1 species
GCUGAAACUCGCCUACAUGAAGCUGGAGUUACUAGUAAUCGCAGAUCAGAAUGCUGCGGUGAAUGCGUUCCCGGGUCUUGUACACACCGCCCGUCACACCACGGGAGUUGGAGACGCCCGAAGCCGACUAUCUAACCUUUUGGAAGAAGUCGUCGAAGGUGGAAUCAAUAACUGGGGUGAAGUCGUAACAAGGUAGCCGUAUCGGAAGGUGCGGCUGGAUCACCUCCUUUCUAAGGA